CGGCGUGUGGCGCAGUCUGGUAGCGCACUUCGUUCGGGACGAAGGGGUCGGAGGUUCAAAUCCUCUUACGCCGACCA
rnacentral:tRNA from 1 species